AGAGUUUGAUCCUGGCUCAGAUUGAACGCUGGCGGCAUGCUUUACACAUGCAAGUCGAACGGCAGCACGGGCUUCGGCCUGGUGGCGAGUGGCGAACGGGUGAGUAAUGCGUCGGAACGCGCCGAGUAGUGGGGGAUAACGCAGCGAAAGCUGUGCUAAUACCGCAUACGCCCUGAGGGGGAAAGCGGGGGAUCGCAAGACCUCGCGUGAUUGGAGCGGCCGAUGUCGGAUUAGCUAGUUGGUGGGGUAAAGGCCUACCAAGGCGACGAUCCGUAGCGGGUCUGAGAGGAUGAUCCGCCACACUGGGACUGAGACACGGCCCAGACUCCUACGGGAGGCAGCAGUGGGGAAUUUUGGACAAUGGGGGCA
rnacentral:rRNA from 1 species